UAUGGAGUCUAAAAGGAGGAGGCGAAUCGAACGCAAAAAUUAUGGGCCCAGUUUUUGAGAUCUAAAUGAAGUUCGAAAAUCGCCGUUAGGGGCGCUUGUGAUGAUUGGGAUACUAGAAAUACACAGCUUCUUAUGGCAAGAAUAACUAUUUUGUUAUAAAUUAUAGAGCCAAGUUAAUAUUUGGGCAUAUUUUUACCAGAGUUAGCUUUUAGAAACGUGGUUUUUCUAAUUGAGCAAUGUGCGUGGCUAAAAUUGUGAAUACAAAACCUUAAAUUUGAGUUUGAAAAUGCAUACACGACCGAAGAAACAUAUAAGCUGCUAAAAUAAAUCUUCCCUAGAACUGUUGUACAAAAAAGAUAGAAGUUCCAGCAACAAAUUUAUCACCAGUUCAACCUUUGAUUUGAUGUAAACAGUAAUUGUUUCUUGAUGAGAAAUGCGAAUGAAAUAGUUUAUGGUGUGAUUGUGUUAGUGUUUUAUUAAUAGUUUUGUUGAUGCAGUUUAAAGGUUCAUAGUUUUUCAUUAAAACAUUUGAAAUUGACAUGUUUACAUGCAGUUUAGUGUGAUACCAUUUUAAUAAACAUUAAAAUCUUUCGAACUAGUAGUGGUUUUAUGGCGAUUGACAGAUUGAAUAACGAAAAUUAAGAGUAUUUUAUCAGGAAUAACUUAAUCAUAAAUGGAAACUGAAGACGAACGUUACCAUUGCACCCUUUGAUCGGUGUUAUCUAUUCCAUAACUUUUUAUAGCUGAAACUAGAGAGUAGGUAUAUUGAGCUGAAACGUUUCCUGUGUUCAAUAGCGUUUUUUCUAGCGUUGAAUUGUAAGUUUUAAUGUCAUUAGCAAAGUUUUGCAAAUUGUCACUGUUUCGUAGACAAUUAAAUUCAAGAUAUAUUAUAUUCAAUGUCACCUAAUAAUUGUAAAGGUUUUUCUAUUGAUAUUCACUUUAUUAAUAUAAGGUAGGUUUGUAAAUAAAAUAUUAAUGAAUAAAUAAUGUACUCAGUUUAUUUCAAAAGCACAAAAAUACAGAGUUGUGAAUAUGUAUAUACGCUGACUUAUUUCAUCAUAUAAAUAUUUAUUUAGCAAUAUUAAUACAUUACAACUUUUGUUUCUAUUAACUAAUUCCACUAAAUUUAAUAAAUAAAAUAUACAAUAUAUAAAUUUAAUAUACAAUUUAGCACUUAGAUAUUAAAUAUCUAUAUGUACUAUGCCAAAAAAUAAAACAGGAACAUCAUAUUAUAUCAA